rnacentral:tRNA from 1 species
UGGGAUCGUAACUCAGCGGGAGAGUGCUACCUUGACAUGGUAGAAGUCGUUGGUUCAAACCCAAUCGAUCCCAA